UUACAAAACCAUAAAGAACUGGGUCGAAUUUGAACCAUCUAUCAUCGGAAGAGUAAAUGAAUGAACUGACAGUCCAAGUCUAAAGGCCACACAUGAAAUAAGAGAUAAAACACGUGUUAUUAUUUACACUUUGAAUCCUUGCCACCAAAAUGUAUCCAUUUUCUUGAUUGGAUAAGACUGACGUCAUCGCCUGAAAUAGAAUUUUAUCCGGGGAAUUCGCUUGCGCAAGCGCAGAAGACUCUAAAUCGCCAUAUUGAUUGCCGUUGGACUUUCAACCAAAGAAAUGUUUUGGUUUUUCACAUGAUUUAGAAGCAGGUCCUGACUCAUAGGGGAGCAACAUUUAAGUGAUUACAUAGAGCUGAUAGUUGAUUGUGAAGGUAGAAAAUUUGCUGAUGAAGAGGAGUUGAAGUUUUUACAUUUAUACCUCAAAAGUUCAAAAGCAUGGGAGCAUUUUUAGAUAAGCCCAAGACUGAAAAACAUAAUGAAACAGGGGGUGGCAAUGGCCUACGCUUUGGCCUCGCCAGCAUGCAAGGCUGGCGUGUUGAGAUGGAAGAUGCACAUACAGCUAUGAUCGGCCUUGAAAAUGGUCUUACUGAUUGGUCAUUUUUUGCCGUCUUUGACGGUCAUGCGGGUAAAAAUGUAUCGGAGUAUGCAUCAAGAAAAUUAAUAGAAUCAAUUGGUAAUAAUAAAGACUUUAUGAAAGCCUUAGAACAGGGAGAUCCUACCAGUCCGCUUAUGAUACAGGCUAUAAAAAAUGGAUUUUUGGAGUUGGACGAAAAAAUGCGAAAAAUCCCUGAAAUGCUGAAUGGAGAAGAUAAGAGUGGGUCUACAGCCAUCUGUGCAUUAGUAUCACCAACACAUAUUUAUUUUGCAAACUGUGGCGACUCACGUGGACUUCUGACUUCCAGUGGAGCUGUGAAAUUUCAUACUCAGGAUCACAAACCUAGUAAUCCCAUAGAGAAAGAGCGUAUUCAAAAUGCUGGAGGAAGUGUAAUGAUUCAAAGAGUAAAUGGAUCACUUGCAGUUUCCAGAGCUUUAGGGGAUUAUGAUUAUAAAAAUGUUGAGGGCAAGAGUCCAGUUGAACAAUUAGUUUCACCAGAGCCUGAAAUUAAUAUUAUCGCAAGGACAGAUCAAGAUGAAUUUGUCGUGUUAGCUUGUGAUGGGAUCUGGGAUGUUAUGACAAAUGAUGACCUCUCCAACUUUGUGCGGUCCAGAAUUCGUCUAACUGAUAAUCUAGAGACCAUCUGUAAUCAAGUUAUUGACUGUUGUUUAUACAAGGGGAGUCGGGACAACAUGAGCAUAGUGAUAGUAGCUCUCCCUGGAGCCCAACCAGUGUCCGAAGAUGAAAAGAAAAAAGAGCAAGAUUUAGAUAAGCUUCUAGAAACCAAGAUACAAGAUAUCAUAAAUUCAUCUGAGCCCCACGAUGCUGACCUGCCAUACAUAAUGCAUGUGCUGGACAAUGAAGAAAUAGAGGGCCUCCCACCUGGAGGAGGGCUCUGUGCCAAACGUCAAACAAUAGACAGCAUUUUGAAAAGGUUGCGUCCUGAUGCGGCAGGUGAUUCAUCAAUCUGAUGAUGAAGAACAAGAGGCCUAGAACAUGCAGACGUCCAACUCAACAGAUGACUCUCUGUGAAAGAACAUAUUAUAGAAUCACUCCAUACGUUCACUG
rnacentral:misc_RNA from 1 species